UACGUAGGCGCAAGCGUUAUUCGGAUGUCUGGGCGUAAAGGGUGCGUAGGCGGUUGUUUAAGUUUGGUGUGAAAUCUCCCGGCUCAACUGGGAGGGUGCGCCGAAUACUGAAUGACUAGAGUGCGGGAGAGGAGAGUGGAAUUCCUGGUGUAGCGGUGAAAUGCGUAGAUAUCAGGAGGAACACCGGUGGUGUAGACGGCUCUCUGGACCGUAACUGACGCUGAGGCACGAAAGCGUGGGUAGCAAACAGG
rnacentral:rRNA from 1 species